UGCACCUUUGUGGGCCGGGUUACUUAGAGACCAGGCGGGAACUUGAGCUCCCUCUCUCGCAGACGUUCUGUAACAUCAGAAAAGCGUACCCAUAAACAGAUUGGUUUUCACCAGGGGUGGAACUCAAUUUGGACACGAUCCAGGCUGACCUGCAGGCCGGGGUUCCUACUUUGAAAGGCUCUUUGGUGCGCCUUACACCCACCUUCCCUGCUGUAAAGGUUUAGGCGGAAAAGAAAUUGCGUUUGCAGGAGGAAGUUGUUUCUGAGGUUACUGCUCAGCAUUUUCCAUUUUCUCAGUGGUGGGGUGGGCCGUGUCGCAUAUCCAGAAGUGAUGUCACAGCCAGACCUGCAAAAUGAUGUAACCUGCAAGUGUUGAAGGACGACGAUGGGACAGCUAUUUUGAUACUCGUAUUAUUUUAUAACAUUUCCCUGCUUUUUCCAUUGAGACAACUGUGUGACCUCAGAAAAUCCACAUAGCCUCUCUGAACUUAGUAUUUUUGUGUGUGUGUUAAAAUGAGUAUCACAAAGCCGGAGAACGAAUGUGAUGAAGUUCUGGGUGCUUGUGGAAUUCUUUCUAAGUUGGAGGUGGACACUUUAUCUACCUGCACAGGUGGAAGAUAUGUGGGUCUGGAACUCCGUGUAUGCCUCCUUGAGAACAUGAACCUUUAAACAACAACAACAACAAUAACAACACGAAGACAAAGUCCUGUCUGCUCUCCCAGGCUAGAGUGCAGCGUGCAAUCGUGCAAUCGCAGCCUACAGUAAGGUAGAAUUCCUGGCCUCAAGCUAUCCUCCUGCCCCACCGUGGCCUCCUGAAGGGCUCCGAUUACAGGAGGGAGCCACUGCACCCAGCCAAACCUGUCUUUUAUUCUGUAUCUCCUGUGCCCAGAGCAGUCCCUGGCCCUGAUAAGGGUUCAACAAAUAUGUUGAGUGAAUGAACAAAUACAUUCAGGAGUGUAGGGAUUUGUUCCUUAUAAAUCUAAAUAAGAAAUAGGGAGAGCAUGGUAGGUAUUUGGGGUCCUCGGCGAGGCGUAAGUUCAGGAGAAGUUUGAAGGAAAGGGUAGGAAAACAUUUUUGAGAGCACAAACAUGCUACAAGUGUUUCCUGAAAUGCCCCAAAGAAGAGUGCAGCACUCAGGUGGAGGAGUCAUUUUUUCCAGGGGCAAUAUGCGAAACACACGGCUGCCGAAGCCAGAAACGUGAAGAGAAGACCUCGCCUUGAUUUGCCAGAUGACCCCUGGCCUUUUUAGUCAAGUUCCUGGAGAAGUUAGGGUGGAGACUUAUUUGUCCUGUGUUUGGGGCAAUAAAAGGGGAGGGGCCGCCUCCUCCAGCCUGUUCUAAAAAGCCAAAAAGCAAGGCUAUUUACUCAGACCUGGGCUACUAAGUGCUGGGGUGGCCCAUGUUGACUUAAAUGAGCCCUUGCAGUUAGGUGGGGCUCUCUGGAGCUGUUAGUCAUGUGAGGUUGCCAGGGCAACUUAAUGUCUUAUGAGUUGGAAUGCUUCAAGAAGUACAAAGAGGAGACUGCAAGAGUGCAUUACAACUUACAGUCAUAUGUUCAAUAACAUGUCAUCUUUCCUAAUGGGGCUUUUAUUUUUAUUUUAUUUUGUGGGAUUGAAAGAUCAGAAGCCGGAAAUUAUCUGGAGAGGAUAAAGAAAAGGAAAAAUUAAAGGAGGGGGCUAUUUCUGUUCCUUAUGUGGGCAGCGAUUAAACAAGGAGAACAUCUGGUCCUGGAGCGGGUCUCUGCAGCACUGCUUUUAAUUACCCCGUCAUUUGGUCUCAUGCUAAAUUAGUGACUGUGGGAGCAGCUUAGAUCUCCAAACUGACAGCCCCGAAGAGCUCAACUCAGCCUGCCACAUAGUCAGAGGGGAAACACGGAGCUUCCGGUUUCAUAUUUAAACCAGGGAUUGACUCAUAAUUGUAGCUGUCAGGAGGGUGAUGGAGACAUUAUGUAAUCUGGUUCUUAUGGCGAUGUGUGUUUAAGGUUUCUGCUCUGUAAAUUCCAGAGGAAAUUUUGUGUCCAUUGAGGGAGAGCUUGCUGGCUGCUCUGUGGUGUGCCCUGCAGGGUAAUUACAGUGCUAUUAAAGGUUCCUAAAUCUGCCUGAAUCCAAACAUGAAUGAAUUUCCCCCUGAAAGGCCCUCCUGUUUUUCCAUAGACUUUUAAAUGUGGAUGAGGUUAGGCGAAAUCUGGCAAACUGCAAAGAGGCAGUAUGCUGGCCCAAUAGGGAAAUGUAAUAAUGGCAAGCCAUUCAGGUCCACAACUAUUUUUUUUCUGGACCACAUAGCUUCCCUUACUAUUUCCCAUCAUUUCCAGUCUCAGAGAUUCUGAAAGCGGACACCA
rnacentral:lncRNA from 10 species